GGCGUCCGAGUUGUAAUUUGUAGAGGAUGCUAUUGAGUUGUCACCGGUCUAAGUUCCUUGGAACAGGACGUCAUAGAGGGUGAGAAUCCCGUAUGUGACCGGCCAGACGCUCUCUGUAUAGCUCCUUCGACGAGUCGGGUUGUUUGGGAAUGCAGCCCUAAAUGGGAGGUAAAUUUCUUCUAAAGCUAAAUACCGGCCAGAGACCGAUAGCGCACAAGUAGAGUGAUCGAAAGAUGAAAAGCACUUUGGAAAGAGAGUUAAAAAGCACGUGAAAUUGUUGAAAGGGAAGCGCUUGCAAUCAGUCUCGACGGCGGCUGUUCGGCCUCUCUUCUGAGUGGUUUAUUCAGUCGCCGCCGGGCCAGCAUCAGUUUUGGCGGUCGGAUAAAGGCGCGGGGAAUGUAGCUCCCUUCGGGGAGUGUUAUAGCCCCGCGUGCAAUACGGCCCGCCGGGACUGAGGUCCGCGCUUCGGCUAGGAUGCUGGCGAAAUGGUUGUAAGCGGCCCGUCUUGAAACACGGACCAAGGAGUCUAACAUCUAUGCGAGUGUUUGGGUGUCAAACCCGUGCGCGUAAUGAAAGUGAACGGAGGUGGGAACCGCAAGGUGCACCAUCGACCGAUCCUGAUGUCUUCGGAUGGAUUUGAGUAAGAGCAUAGCUGUUGGGACCCGAAAGAUGGUGAACUAUGCCUGAAUAGGGUGAAGCCAGAGGAAACUCUGGUGGAGGCUCGCAGCGGUUCUGACG
rnacentral:rRNA from 1 species